rnacentral:rRNA from 1 species
CGAACGGCUGAGUAACACGUGGGCAACCUGCCCUCCUCUUGGGGAUAGCCUCGGGAAACCGAGGAUAAUACCCGAUACUUCAAUGUGGCCGCAUGACGACAUUGAGAAAGCUUUUGCGGAGAAGGAUGGGCCCGCGGCCUGUUAGCUUGUUGGUGGGGUAGAGGCCUACCAAGGCAAUGAUGGGUAGCUGGGUUGAGAGACCGACCAGCCAGAUUGGGACUGAGACACGGCCCAG